AAGACCCAAGAUUAUCGUUUUGUACAGGAUUUGAGAGCUAUCCACCAAAUUGUAGAGGAUGUACAUUCAGUGAUGCCAGAUCCUUAUACUUUGCUUACAACUUUAUCUGGAGACUUUUGCUGGUUUACAGUUCUGAACUUAAAAGAUGCCUUUUAUUGCAUACCCCUAAGUCCUGAGUCCCAGGAACUGUUUGCCUUUGAGUGAAAUGAUCCAGAGACUAAUAUAAAACAGCAGUAUUGCUGGACUGUACUUCCACAAGGAUUUAAAAAUGCCCCCACCAUCUUUGUGGAGGCCUUAGCCAAGGACUUAAAGGAUCUCCAAUUAAAUGAAGGAAUCUUACUCCAGUAUGUGGGUGAUAUACUAAUCGCUAGUAUAACUAAGGAAGCUUCAGACCAAAAUACAAUCCUCAGUUUAAACUUUUUGGCAGACCGGGGAUAUAAAAUCUCCAAGGGAAAGGCACAAAUUUCUCAACCAGCUGUAAAAUAUCUAGGAAUUGAAUUAUCAAAAGGAGAAAGAAACUUGCUGCCAGAUCGAAGGGAAGCAUUAGCUGGAGUGGAUGUACCCACCACCAGAAAGCAAUUGAGAAGAUUCUUAGGAAUGGCUGGGUUUUGUCGUAUUUGGAUUCCUAACUUCGGACUUAUAGUCAAACCUCUAUAUGAGGCUCUCAAAAGAAAUGCCAAUGAGCCAUUAAGCUGGACUGCGAAAUGCCAUGAGUCAUUCCGUACCAUCAAGGAGAAAAUUUCAACAGCCCCAGCACUUGGUCUCCCAGACAUUAGAAAGUUAUUUGAUCUUUUUGUGCAUGAAAGACAGAGCAUGAGUCUUGGAGUGCUAACUCAAAAUUUAAAUACUGCCAGAAGGCCAGUGGCUUACUUUUCCAAACAAUUGGAUGUUGUAACUCAAGGAUGGCCAGUUUGCCUCCGGGCUAUGGCUGCAACCUGUGACCUUUUACAAGAAGCUGAAAAAUUUACCCUGGGUUGGCCUACCACUGUGCACACGCCACAUCGUGUGCAACUUUUACUUGAACAAAAGGGCCGCUAUUGGCUUACUUUGGGGAGGCUGGGCAAAUACCAGGCCAUACUAUUUGACAACCCAAAGGUAACAUUAAAAGAAGUAUCUGCUUUAAACCCAGCCACUCUGCUCCCCAGAAGAACCUGUUCACGAUUGUACACGAAAACAGAAGAACCUGUUCAUGAUUGUAUACGAAAAAUUGAAGAAGACUAUUCUAGAAGACCUGACCUGACUGAUCAGCCUUUAGAGAAUCCAGAUAUGGAAAUGUUUGCAGUUGGGAACAGCUUCAUGGAUUGUGGACUCCGAAAAGCUGGAUAUGCAAUAACAACUCAUCAGGAGGUCCUAGAAGCAGAAGCCCUCCCUCCAGGUAUGUCUGUCCAGAAGGCAGAGCUCGUAGCCCUCAGGAGAGCCCUGCAUCUUGGAGCUAAGAAAAAGGUAACCAUUUAUACUGCUUCUAAGUAUGCCUUCUCUGUCAUGCAUGCACAUGGGGCCAUGUGGAAAAAGAGAGGUCAACUAACAUCAGGAAAGAAAAAAAUUAAACAUGCAGAGGAGAUACUGGCCUUAUUAAACUCUGUUUUAAUGCUGGAAGAAGUAGCCAUAGUACAUUGCCCGCACCAAAAGACUGAUAGCUGUAUAGCUAAAGGAAAUAAUUUGGCUGAACACGCAGCAAAACAGGCGACCAGAGCCAAACACCCUAGCACUCAUUCAAAGUGUGGACCUGUCCCUGUUUAAGCCUCAUUAUUCAGAAAUGGAUCUAGAGAGAGAUGAUGAAUGGGGAUUUCACGCUGACUCUUGAGACGUAGAUGGUGAUCAGUACCAAACAAACAAGGAAGGCUGGAUAUAUAAUGAACAGGGAUUAGUGCUUAUGCCCCAACAUUUAAUGGAAAGAAUUAUUACUCAUCUACAUCAAGGGAGGGAUGCAACCUAUCAUUGGCUACAAAAGUUUAUUGUUAGUCCAUAAAUGCAAAGGACCAUCCAAAAGGUAAUACAAAAUUGCCUGAUUUGCACCAGAAACAAUCCUAAAGCUGGGCCACCUCCAAUAUUCAAAGAGGUGCAAACCCGAGGGACAGAACCAAGAGAUGCCUGGCAAAUAGACUUUACUGUUAUGCCAAGAGCCAUGGGACAUUAUAGAUAUUUGCUGGUAUUUGUGGACACCUUCACAGGAUGGGUCAAAGCUUUUCUGUGCUAGAGAGAGAAAGCUUCCUAGGUAAAAAGGCCUCACUGAAAGAAAUUAGCCCUCAUUUUGGGUUGCCUCUUUCAAUUCAAAGUGACAGUGGAGGAGCUUUCAUAGCCAAGGUAACUCAAGGGGUAUCUGGGGCCCUCGAACUACAAUAGAAGUUACAUGCUUCAUGGAGCCCUCAUGACUGAAAUGAUGAAUCAUACCUUGAAAGAGACAUUCACCGAAGUAUGUCAAGAAACCAGCUUCACUUGAGAUGAUGUCUUAACAGUUGUCCUGCUGAGGGUAAGAGUAGCCCCUAGAAGCAAGUGCCACUUGAGCCCUUAUGAAACGUUAAUGGGAGACCCUUCCUUAAGACUAAGUAUUAUUGCUGUCUUGAAAGUGAUCUCAUUGUAAAAGAAUUAAAUACUAUAAAAUGUGUACAGUCUCUUGGUGCUAUCUUAUUUUCUGUAUAUAAAUAUGCCUCCAGCCAAUUAACAUUUCCCGCAGACAUUCCUGUGCACUGCAUAAGCCCAGGGAAUUGGGUCCUCCUCAAACUUGUAAAAAUUACUGCCCUGAGGAUCAACUGCAACCCAAGUGGAUUGGAGCCUAUGAAGUCCUUCUGGUUACACAUUCUUCAGUAGAGCUAAAAGGAGUUAAACCUUGGAUACACCCCUCCAGAGUAAAAAUAGUACCCAUUUCUAACCAGCACCCCCCUUGUCCCCUUUACAAUUCCCAAACAGGGCACGCUCUCCAUGGACAGGAGGAAGUAGGAGGACCCAACCUUCCUAACACCAGGGGGGCCUGGAAACCCACUGCUGAUUUCUCGGCCCCUAAUUACACUUGUGAACCCUUAACUGAACUUCAGUUACUUUUCAAAUAGAAACAGGACAGCUAAGUCUCUACCUGGUCAGGAAAAGAAGAUGAGGACAUCUCGAAAGUAGACAGCUCCGCCCAGAAGUCUGGACCAGGCCGAUAUAAAUCCAAAUUCAAUCACUAAGAAUGUUAAAAAUAACAUGUUUUCACUGGUUCCCAAAGAAUAAGGUCUGUUUUUGGAGGACUGUUAAAAUUAGGAAUCAUAGUUCUGUGUAUCAUGGGGUUAAUCUUUUUACUCACCAAAUUUUUUACUUAUUGUCUAUCUCAUAUAUUUAAAAAGGCCUCCCCCACUCACAUGUUGAUUGCCAAAGACCUAAGCGUUCAAAGUGGGACUCAUGAAUAUUUACAAUCAAGUGCAAAAACAAUUUUAUUCCUCUUAUAAAAAUCUAUGCCCCUUCUCAGCAGGAAGCAGCUAGAGCGGUCGUCACCCUAUUUCCCUUAAGAUUGAGGAAUGUACAAAGUAAAAGGGGGGGACUAAAACAGCACAUAAAACAUUGACCGGCUUACCCUGGUUUUGUCUCCUUAAAUAGGUUGUUGACUAAUCAAACCUUGAGUUAUUUUACAGAGACAGCACUCCCAUGUGCAAGACAAGAACCCAUGUCUCCAGGAUGACCCCAGAACCAAGAAUCUUCAGUCUACAGAGCUCAAACAAUAGACAUGUUGCCACUGGAGCCCUUUACCAAGCAAGAAGUUCUUCAUAUAGAAUUGGAGACCCUGGACUUUAAAGUUCGACUUUGGACACUUCCAAAUUUAACAUGCUGUGUGAUCUUAUGGAAGUUGCUUAGGAUUUCUGUGCCUCAGUUUCACUUUCCCCAAGUGUAAAAAAAGAUAAUAAUAAUAGCUCCUUCAAAGGUAGAUUGUAAGGGGGCUUCCCUGGUGGCACAGUGGUUGAGAAUCUGCCUGCCAAUGCAGGGGACACGGGUUCGAGCCCUGGUCUGGGAAGAUCCCACGUGCCGCGGAGCAGCUGGGCCCGUGAGCCACAAUUACUGAGCCUGCGCUUCUGGAGCCUGUGCUCCACAACAAGAGAGGCCGUGACAGUGAGAGGCCCGCGCACCGCGAUGAAGAGUGGCCCCUGCUUGCCAUAACUGGAGAAAGCCCUCGCACAGAAACGAAGACCCAACACAGCCAUAAAUAAAUAAAUAAACAAAUACUUUAAAAAAGGUAGAUUGUAAGGAUUAAAUGAGUUACUAUGCUAAAAAGCUUAGGAAAAUGCUUAACCCAUAGUAAGAGUUCUAAAGAUGACCUAUUAUCAUUAUGGAGGUGUCUUGCCUGCCUUAAGAAGACAUAAUUCUCACUUCUCUAGUUAUCCUUUUUUCCCCAAACACAAAAGCAGGAGGAAAAGCAAACACCUUGUGUUUUUAUUCUCACUGACAUGUUCCUGUAGGCCUCUCAGUAUUAAAAUCAUAUCAUUCAGUAGUGUUGCAUUUGGCUGCUAUAAUCAAGUUAUCUGACUUAGAAUGGGUUUUUUUAAUGGGUUUCUUCUUGUGUUUUUAG